UACAGAGGGUGCAAGCGUUAAUCGGAAUUACUGGGCGUAAAGCGUGCGCAGGCGGCUUUGCAAGACAGAUGUGAAAUCCCCGGGCUUAACCUGGGAGCUGCAUUUGUGACUGCAUGGCUGGAGUGCGGCAGAGGGGGAUGGAAUUCCGCGUGUAGCAGUGAAAUGCGUAGAGAUGUGGAGGAACACCGAUGGCGAAGGCAGCCCCCUGGGCUAACACUGACGCUCAUGCACGAAAGCGUGGGGAUCAAACAGG
rnacentral:rRNA from 1 species